rnacentral:lncRNA from 1 species
CAGACCCUCCCCACCCCACACACGCAGACACGUCUUACAAGUCCUGUGAGAUAGGGGCUGCCAGCGUCUCCCAGGAUGUGGCCCACCGUGAUCUGAAGUGCCUCUGCUGUCCCCCGGCACCUGGGCACCACCAUUUAUAGACAAGGCAACUGAGGCCCAGGGCCAUGUAGCAGGUCUGCGGCUGACUCUGGGCUGGAGCCCAAGUCUCCUGUCUGGAGGGAGGGGCAGGGAAGACCUGCCAUUCCUGCAGCUGAUCAGCUCUGCAGUCUCAGGUCCUUCCUGGACGGCCACAGGCACCUCACACUGAACAGCUGCCUAAACUCAUUCUCUCCCCUGUCCCCAAACAUCGCAUCACCCAGGCCAGACGCUGGGGUUGGGGGGUCCCUACAUGCCUUCCUCACUCUCACUCCCCUCAUCACUGAUUUCUGUCCGUUCUGCAUCCGCACGUUCCUCGAAUUUGCGUCUUCCUCCUGUCCAUGGCUGCUGGCCAGUGCACUCCAGGCCUCCCCGGCCAUCUCCUCCCCAGUUUCCCAGGCCCCACCAUCCCUCCAGACACCAGCCCUGGAGGGGACUUCCGAAACAGAAAUCUGACUCUGCCCCUGUCUCCUCAGAGUCUGUGUGGCCUCCCUGCACCCUGACUUAGAUCCCUCUGGGAGAUAGGGCCUGGGAACACUGCCUGGAGCCUGAGAAACAUGGAGCCCCUCAGCCCCUGGCCUCUGCCAUUCCAGACCAAGAGAAUUUCCCCCUCGAGCUAGGAAAGUGAUGAUAAAUGUCCCUGGCUUUAGUCAUCCCCGGCCACAGAGACCCACACACAGAAGUAUCCAUGCUCACACUGUCACACAUGCGGCCAUGCAAACGUGCCCAGACACACGCACAGCCGAGGCCUCUCACACGUGCACGCGAGACCAACACACAAGCACACUCACACACAUGCACCCACACACGGACACCCAC